rnacentral:rRNA from 1 species
AGAGUUUGAUCAUGGCUCAGGACGAGCGCUGGCGGCGUGCUUAACACAUGCAAGUCGAACGGAAAGGCCCCUUCGGGGGUACUCGAGUGGCGAACGGGUGAGUAACACGUGGGUGAUCUGCCCUGCACUUUGGGAUAAGCCUGGGAAACUGGGUCUAAUACCGAAUAGGACCGCAUGCUUCAUGGUGUGUGGUGGAAAGCUUUUGCGGUGUGGGAUGGGCCCGCGGCCUAUCAGCUUGUUGGUGGGGUAAUGGCCUACCAAGGCGACGACGGGUAGCCGGCCUGAGAGGGUGUCCGGCCACACUGGGACUGAGAUACGGCCCAGACUCCUACGGGAGGCAGCAGUGGGGAAUAUUGCACAAUGGGCGCAAGCCUGAUGCAGCGACGCCGCGUGGGGGAUGACGGCCUUCGGGUUGUAAACCUCUUUCAGUAUCGGCGAAGCUCCAGGAUUUUUCUUGGGGUGACGGUAGGUACAGAAGAAGCACCGGCCAACUACGUGCCAGCAGCCGCGGUAAUACGUAGGGUGCGAGCGUUGUCCGGAAUUACUGGGCGUAAAGAGCUCGUAGGUGGUUUGUCACGUUGUCUGUGAAAACUCACAGCUUAACUGUAGGCGUGCGGGCGAUACGGGCAGACUGGAGUACUGUAGGGGAGACUGGAAUUCCUGGUGUAGCGGUGGAAUGCGCAGAUAUCAGGAGGAACACCGGUGGCGAAGGCGGGUCUCCGGGCAGUAACUGACGCUGAGGAGCGAAAGCGUGGGGAGCGAACAGGAUUAGAUACCCUGGUAGUCCAA